GAUGAACGCUGGCGGCGUGCUUAACACAUGCAAGUCGAACGAUGAAGCCCAGCUUGCUGGGUGGAUUAGUGGCGAACGGGUGAGUAACACGUGAGUAACCUGCCCUUAACUCUGGGAUAAGCCUGGGAAACUGGGUCUAAUACCGGAUAGGAGUGCCGACCGCAUGGUGGGUGUUGGAAAGAUUUAUCGGUUUUGGAUGGACUCGCGGCCUAUCAGCUUGUUGGUGAGGUAAUGGCUCACCAAGGCGACGACGGGUAGCCGGCCUGAGAGGGUGACCGGCCACACUGGGACUGAGACACGGCCCAGACUCCUACGGGAGGCAGCAGUGGGGAAUAUUGCACAAUGGGCGCAAGCCUGAUGCAGCGACGCCGCGUGAGGGAUGACGGCCUUCGGGUUGUAAACCUCUUUCAGUAGGGAAGAAGCGAAAGUGACGGUACCUGCAGAAGAAGCACCGGCUAACUACGUG
rnacentral:rRNA from 1 species